rnacentral:rRNA from 1 species
GAUGAACGCUAGCGGCAGGCCUAAUACAUGCAAGUCGAACGAGAUUAAGAGGCUUGCUUCUUAUGAAAGUGGCGCACGGGUGCGUAACGCGUAUGCAACCUACCUUAAUCAGGGGGAUAGCCCGAAGAAAUUCGGAUUAAGACCGCAUAAAAACACAGGAUAGCAUUAUCCAAUGUUCAAAUAUUUAUAGGAUUAAGAUGGGCAUGCGUGUCAUUAGCUAGUUGGCGGGGUAACGGCCCACCAAGGCGACGAUGACUAGGGGAUCUGAGAGGAUGACCCCCCACAUUGGUACUGAGACACGGACAAGACUCCUACGGGAGGCAGCAGUAAGGAAUAUUGGUCAAUGGAGGGAACUCUGAACCAGCCAUGCCGCGUGCAGGAAGACAGCCCUCUGGGUCGUAAACUGCUUUUAUUCGGGAAUAAACCUUUCUACGUGUAGGAAGCUGAAUGUACCGAAGGAAUAAGGAUCGGCUAACUCCGUG